GCAGGUUAUAGAGUUGUUUUGAGGACUAAGCAAAACGACCUGUGCUUAGGGAAGAAAGCGGGGCCCUUCACUUUAGUUCUCCUCCAACUUUCUCUUCCAGCCACUCUGUGCAUCAUUGUCCCUUUCAUUUUUUUUUGGCAAGGACAUCCUUUAUUCUGGCUUAGCUGUUCACUUUGGAGAGAUGUUGGGUACCAAAUGGCCCUGUCUAUAGGUUUGUUUGGAGUGUGACAGUCUUAAGCCAGAGCUAUCCAUCCUGGAGAGAUCAGGGAUUCUGAGCAGACCUGUUUCAGGAGACCCUUCCACUUUGCUGAUGGAUUUGAGGCAUAAGCAAGGGAAAUAUGGUGUCAUUCAAAUCUGGACCAAUCUGAUCUCUCACCAUGAGACUUCAUGUUGACCCUGGUAUCAGGGCUGCUUAGGCUACAGGGGAGAAGACAGAUGCCAACCUACCCAGCAAUCACAGAGAUGAAGCUCAGAACUCAAACACGGAGAAAGGAGCAAUUCCUAACAGCCAAGAUGGACAGGGGAGGCUUCACACAGAGGAGCCUUAGAGAUCUUGGAGUGGCAGCAGGCGCCCACAUAGAAGCUGGAUCAUCAGACCCAGGGGCUGCAGAGAUCUUGGAGUCUGGACAGUGGGUGUUACAUAUGGGGUAAAGUCCCUAUGUAGGGUACUUUCAAGAAGAGGGACUUGAAACAACAUGAAGGUGGAAUCUGAGCAAAGGAUAUGGGAGAGGGUGUUCCAGAUACAGGCUAGACUGAGCAGGGAUGAGAAGGAGGAAUAUAUUCCCUAGCAAAGUAGUGGGGAUAGGUGUGGUCGAGUAUAGGUAUAGAAAGCAGAAGACAAACCCAGAGAAAGGGGCUGAUGCUUGCAGAGGGGAGUUCUCAAAUGUCUGGAGAGUAACUGACUUUAUUGCUUAGACCUGCACAGUGAACAGGAUCUGGAUGUGGGGGGUUGAUUACUAUUCUAGGCUGAAGAAUGGAACUGGAUUUAUUGUGGUCUGGGUGUUAAGCAUGGCAGCAGGCCAGGGGCUCUCAGACUGCCCCCAUUAAAUCUACCCAGAUCUCUCAUUAAAUUCUCCUACUUUGAAAUAUGGGGACUUGCUCUUUUCUGGGCAUCUGGGCACCCAGGCUAUGAAUAUGAAUAGGCCUCUCUGGCCUAUUAUUUAAGACAGAUGUGUCCAUCUCAACGUCAAAGGUAGAACUCUCCUAGGAUGAAAAUAAAGCAUCAUGUAAAGAGUAAGGAAUAAUGGUGGCGGGCAAAUCUGGGGCUUCCUCAAAUCAAAAGGCUAACUCCAUCCUGGGGAGUUGGUUCUAGUCCUGGCUCUACCACUUAGCCAAAUGGCUUUGGGCAAGUCACUUAGUCUCUGGGCCUUGGUUUCCUCAUCUGAAAAUGGAUCAACAUGAGCAGAUAAUGUAAGAGGAGGUGCUUGCAACCCAGGAACUUCUAGCUGAUGGUUCCCUCUUUGGCCAGGUCCCUGUGAUACAGUGUCUUCACCAAAGGCUCCCUCAGGAAGGGCCAAUCCUCUUCUUUGGGCUACAGUGUGGUCUGGUCCAAGCCACUGUGUUCUAGGUUCUCUCCACUCUAGUCUCCAGAGGGAUCACCUUGAACACACACCUGCUCCCAGGUUGUAGGUGUCUGUACUCAUCCUGGCUUCAGGGCGUUCCUGGGACUUUCUUAGAGGGGAGGUGGUGGGCUGGAGUGGAAAGAACACUGGCAUGUGGCCAAGCCCAGCUGUCCACUUGCUUAAUGCCAAGACACACUCUUUCUCUGGGUCUCAGUAUCUUCAUUACCAAAUGGAGCUAAGAACUUUUGUUUAGCCUUCUUACCCAGGUCUACUGUGAAGGUGAAAUGAAAUUCAGAUGUGACCAAGGCUGUGGCCAGGUACAACAUCUUGCAAAACACUGGGGUUAAGCUGGAGCAAAAGCUGACAUCUGCUGCAGAGAGCAAAAUGAGGCCUUGCUGUUCUCAGACCUUACCUCAGAUAAAGGAACUGAAGCACAGAGAAGUUGCCCCAGGAAGUUCCACAACGAGAAUGUUUGCCCAUAAGCUGCUAAGCAAACAGAAUCAGAAGUAACUUUCAAUAAACCCAGGCAACUGUCCCAGUGAAGAGGUACCUGCUCAGGAGAGUUAAGAGAAAGCAAAGGCAGCAGAACUUGAUUGAAUCACAAGUAAUAUGAAAUUGCCACUGGCUGGCUGUGCAGCAGUCCUGCUAAACCGGCCACCCAUCUUCCUUCUCUCCUUCAAGAGGUGACAACUGAGGAUGAAGCAGUCACAAGUCAACAGAAUCAAACCUAAGGACUAAAAUACUGCUAACACUGUUGAAGAGACCUAUGUGCUCUUCCUCCCCUAUUCUACCCCUGCUUCCACAACUAUGAACAUUGUAGGCAGACUGUUGAAAAAGAGACAAUCUUAAAAGCAGACAGAAAAUAAAAGUCAUAUUACAUUUGAGGCAACAAUAGGAACAAUGGCUGCUUCUCAACAGAAACAAUGUUAAGUCGGAAUGUGGAUUGAUAGCUCUAAAAUGCUAAAACAAACAAAAUUCAAGUUGGAAUUCUAUAUCCAGUUGAAAAAAAUAUCCUGGAAAAAUAAAGGCAAAAUGAAGAUAUUUUCGGACAAUUGAAGCUGUCAUCCGCAGGUCUGCAAUACAUGGAAUUCUAAAGGAAGUUUUGUGUUGAAGGGAAAUGAUCCUGGCAUGAAAUCAGGAUGUGAAAAAGGAAUGAAGAGUGUCAGAAACAAUAUGUGGGUUAUCCAGAAUGGAGUAGCAGCCAGGCAAGAGCACAGACUCAGAAAAUAUGCUGGUAUGAAUGCAUCAGGAUUAGAGAGGCUUAUAAAACUCUCAGCACAUUGCCAUUCACUAAUAAGAAUAAAAACUGAGAUGGUUUUACUAAGUAUCUGGCACUCAUUUAAUUCUCCCACUGAGGAUGUGUUUUUACCAUAACAGUUAAAAUGAGGGAUGGAAGCUCAGAGAGAAGGAACUGGCCAAGACUUGAAAUCAGGCUCCCCUGAUGCAGUACUUUCCUGUCUGAUGUUAUCUGCCACAUUCAAACUCUUUAUCUCAGGAUGAGAGGAAGUGUGGAAAGAGAGCACCUCAAGAUGUAAGGAACAGUUUUACUGGAGCAAGGUAACCUCUUUUCUUCUGAUGCAACAUGAUAAUUAUCAUCAUUAUCACAAGCAGAAAGUAAGGGCAGCAGAAGGGAAGAUACCCAAAAGCAACACAGCUAAAUCCUUAUCCUCAAAAAACUCAACAGCUACUUAUAAGGAUGGUUGGAUGGAUGACUGCAUGGACUGCUUGACUCAUUCAAUAAGCAGAUCAACUGCCACAUCUUGUACAAAGCCCAUUUAUAAGAGAAUAAAAAGCUUAGACUGAUGGGAUGUGGAGAAGCAUGACAGAAAUGGACAAUCUGAAAAGUUAAAUACUUCCUUUGUUAUCACUCAAUAAAAAGAGGUAUUUGUGCUUGA